GACGAACGCUGGCGGCGUGCUUAACACAUGCAAGUCGAACGGAAAGGCCCUGCUUUUGUGGGGUGCUCGAGUGGCGAACGGGUGAGUAACACGUGAGUAACCUGCCCUUGACUUUGGGAUAACUUCAGGAAACUGGGGCUAAUAUCGGAUAGGAGCUCCUGCUGCAUGGUGGGGGUUGGAAAGUUUCGGCGGUUGGGGAUGGACUCGCGGCUUAUCAGCUUGUUGGUGGGGUAGUGGCUUACCAAGGCUUUGACGGGUAGCCGGCCUGAGAGGGUGCCCGGCCACAUUGGGACUGCGAUACGGCCCAGACUCCUACGGGAGGCAGCAGUGGGGAAUAUUGCACAAUGGGCGGAAGCCUGAUGCAGCAACGCCGCGUGCGGGAUGACGGCCUUCGGGUUGUAAACCGCUUUCGCCUGUGACGAAGCGUGAGUGACGGUAAUGGGUAAAGAAGCACCGGCUAACUACGUG
rnacentral:rRNA from 1 species